rnacentral:sRNA from 1 species
GGGAACCCCCAGGUUUUGUCUUCUCCUUGGGACAUGUAUCUUCCCCUCCCCUAUGGGUCCUGGAGUAAGACUGGAGUGGGCAGGGAGCCCCACUGCCACCUCCAGCUGCAGCGGUCGAUGAAGUCUGGCGUUUGUUUAGCUUCUCCACUCAAUACUCUAAUCCUGCCAAAGACCUAAUAGACUAUUGAGCAGUCCCGGGGGAGGGCACAAGCAUCAUCCAGCAGUGUGUGUUGUGUUUUACAGCCGUUCCUGAGCAUGCUGCCCGCCUGCAGCGCUUGGCCCAGAUCCACAUUCAGCAGCAGGACCAGUGUGUGGAGAUCACUGAGGAGUCCAAGGCUCUCCUGGAGGAAUACAACAAGACUACAAUGCUUCUCUCCAAGCAAUUCGUGCAGUGGGAUGAGCUACUUUGCCAGCUAGAGGCCGCCACGCAAGUGAAGCCAGCAGAGGAGUGAUAGCUGCUCCCCAUCCCAAAGUGGGCCUGGGCAGUCAGGCUCCAGGGCCCUAUGCCAACCUGCCUUUGUUACAAGGCAGAGGAAGCUUUGUAUUUAUUGGCUUCAAGGCCCACCUCUCUGUACUCUGGGCUCUAAAGUUGGAGGUCAGGUUACCUGAGGUUUGCAAUUUGCAACACCCACCCUCCCCCCAAUCAGUGUUCUUAUUUCAGUGACAAUAAACCAUAGAGAUGACUGGA